rnacentral:rRNA from 1 species
GACGAACGCUGGCGGCGUGCUUAACACAUGCAAGUCGAACGGAAAGGCCCUGCUUUUGUGGGGUGCUCGAGUGGCGAACGGGUGAGUAACACGUGAGUAACCUGCCCUUGACUUUGGGAUAACUUCAGGAAACUGGGGCUAAUACCGGAUAGGAGCUCCUGCCGCAUGGUGGGGGUUGGAAAGUUUCGGCGGUUGGGGAUGGACUCGCGGCUUAUCAGCUUGUUGGUGGGGUAGUGGCUUACCAAGGCUUUGACGGGUAGCCGGCCUGAGAGGGUGACCGGCCACAUUGGGACUGAGAUACAGCCCAGACUCCUACGGGAGGCAGCAGUGGGGAAUAUUGCACAAUGGGCGGAAGCCUGAUGCAGCAACGCCGCGUGCGGGAUGACGGCCUUCGGGUUGUAAACCGCUUUCGCCUGUGACGAAGCGUGAGUGACGGUAAUGGGUAAAGAAGCACCGGCUAACUACGUG